GAUGAACGCUGGCGGCGUGCCUAAUACAUGCAAGUCGAACGCGCAGCGAAAGGUGCUUGCACCUUUCAAGCGAGUGGCGAACGGGUGAGUAACACGUGGAUAACCUGCCUCAAGGCUGGGGAUAACAUUUGGAAACAGAUGCUAAUACCGAAUAAAACUUAGUAUCGCAUGAUACAAAGUUAAAAGGCGCUACGGCGUCACCUAGAGAUGGAUCCGCGGUGCAUUAGUUAGUUGGUGGGGUAAAGGCUUACCAAGACGGUGAUGCAUAGCCGACUUGAGAGACUGAUCGGCCACAUUGGGACUGAGACACGGCCCAAACUCCUACGGGAGGCUGCAGUAGGGAAUCUUCCACAAUGGGCGCAAGCCUGAUGGAGCAACGCCGCGUGUGUGAUGAAGGCUUUCGGGUCGUAAAGCACUGUUGUAUGGGAAGAAAUGCUAAAAUAGGGAAUGAUUUUAGUUUGACGGUACCAUACCAGAAAGGGACGGCUAAAUACGUGCCAGCCGCCGCCGUAA
rnacentral:rRNA from 1 species